AGUUUGCAAACAAACACCUUAGCACAGUUACAUGCACAUUUCUAUGCUCAAGCACAAAUUCACUUACUGAGCUCACUCACUUUUCUACUUGCUAAAUCUUUACUUGGCAUAUACCUUUCUUCUUGCACAUUAAUAUUCAAAUCUCACUAUUAUUUCUGUGCACAGUUACUUUUCAGACUCACAAUAUUUGUCCCACUCACUCAGCAUUAUCUCAACUUUAUCCUUUCUCUUAUUUCUUUGCAACUUGAAAGCAGCUGACCAAUCGUCUUCUGGAUCUGUGGGCUGGAAACUGACCUGAAAUCUACUUGUCUCAACCGUACAUGAGAAAUGAUCAUUCGAUUGGGUCGCCUAACACCGGGAUACUUCCGACUGUUGCAGUUGCAGGUCUCUGGAAAAUUAGCUUCCGAGCCCAAGGAUCGGCUGGUAAAUCCUUUGGCUUUCCUUCUAGCCCUCAUGGGCCUGGGACUGUCCUAUUACAGUGUUCGACAGAUGGACAGAAGUCCAGCUCACCACCUUCCAAAAGAUGCUUCUGAAACUGAUGAUACUAAGAAAAGAGAGUAACAAAAUGGGGUAAACACAAGAGAGGGAUAUGCUCAGGGGUAAAAAAUAUUUAGAGUUGAAGUGAUAUACUUAAGGAGAUUCUCAAGAUAUGGUAAGAAAGAAUAUUAGGAAGGAUAUUAAGAAGACAUAGGGACUCAGUAUGAUAUAAAACCUGUACUCUGAAGAUCUAGAAUUGAUUAGCCACAGUGCAACUGUGUGUUUCAGAUAUCUACGAAAAUAGGAAAGGUUGUACUUUAUACAAACUAUGAUCACUUUUUAAUAUAACAAAUGUAAAUCACAAUAUCCCUCACUGAGCAACGGCAUGUUAAGAGGCCAUACAACUGGAUUCUGGAGACUCAUCCCAGUAUCUUUAACAACAGUGAUGUAAAUAAUCCAUAAUAAUCACUGAGCUAAAUGCAGCCCACAUAAUGGUCUAGUGUCUGAGUAAAGAAACUAGUUCAAAACAUGCAAAUCCAGCUCGUUCACAUCUGGCUACUGACCCACAUUCAGUCGUAGCCUGAUUUUCCAAUAACCUACAUUAGCAAUCAUCAGAGAAACACAGUUCACGUUGUGCCCUGGUUUAGUAAUUGGUGCAUAGAAAACGGUGGUUUCCCAGUCAUUUGCAUUAAUAUUAAUUGUUAAAAGAACAGUUUUAUAAAAUAACAGAAUGUGGACAUGGUAAUAUUUCAUCAUUUUACAUCUUUGUAAUAUAACUGUUGUAUAAGUUCCCCAGUUUUCCCCAGAUUUUUCUAUCAAGGCAAGGGUUAAUCAGAGAUUACAUUUUCUAAAUGUCAGACUGUGUUUUUUUGUACAUAUAAAUGAUUAGACUCUGUAAACUGCUUAAAAACACAAUGGCCACCGUUCCUGACAUCUGGACAAUUACAAAUCUACAGGCUUUAAAUCAACCAGGUGUGGAUAGAUUAGUUGUUGUAAAACCCAGCACAAACCCAAGCAAGCACUAGGUUGGCAGAUUAACAGUGCUAAAAUUACACAAUUAGUGUAACUUAACCGAUAUCAACAAGGUCAAAGCUCAAUAUAAAUAUUAGUCAAAAAACAGAAUACAAAGGAUCGAUGCACUGAGUAGAAUCCUUGAAUGAGGUAUUUUUAAUAAAUAUAGAGGCUUAAAAGGGAAGUACCAUGACCUAAAAAAUAAACAUAAAAUGCUACCUUUCAUAAAAGAAAGACCUGAGUGCUAAGUAUGAUCAGAGGUUUCAAAGUAGACUUUAGAGUGCACUUCGAAAGAACACAACGUACUUUAACGAGGUCAAGGCUUUAUGGCGAUGCACACAUACACGUUCAUAAAAAAAAGAUCUACAAAAUAACUUUCAUACAUUGAUAAAUAUUAUAUUCAGUUAUUAAUUUACUUCAUAAUCUCUAUGCAUUCUCUCAGUUGCAUGAUUUAAUUUUAUGUACACAUUGUAUUUUUCAAUGCCUUUAUACGGCAGUCUUUGCCGGAAGAUCAGAUGUUAAACUCCACAGUUAUGAUUGUGCAUCCGUGCGAGGAUAGAAUGCAGACGUGAUUAGGGAUGACAGGCAGACGUGCUUAGGGACUGAUGAGCGAGCUACACCCACCAACAGGGCUAUCCCUUAUGUAACUGUUAAAGCCAACAAAUUCAUAUCAAACAAACCAGUCACUGGAAAGGGAGGAGAGCAUUUAGAUUUAGGGGCUACAGUGCAAUCUCACAUAUUGUAAUACAGCAGGAUGAUAGCACUACGAAUUUGACAUUUAGUAUAAGACUGCAAAAUAAACAAUUGACUAGGAAAACUGUUUGCACACAAGUUUAUUCAACAGUUGAGAAAUUGUCUUUACAUUAACCAUGUAUGUUAGAUGGAUAGCUUGCCUAUUCUUUUUGGAAGUUAUUUCUCCAUUAGCAGAUGUAUAUAGAAGAUAGAUCUUAAAGGGAUACUAAACUCAAAUUUGUUUCUUUCAUGAUUCAGAUACAGCUAACAAUUUUAAGCAACUUUGUAAUUUACUUCUAUUAUCAAAUUUUCUUUGUUCUCUUGCUAUCUUUACUUAAAAAGCAGGAAUGUAAGCUUACGAGACGGGCCAUUUUUGGUUCAGCACUUGGGUAGUGCUUGCUGAUCGAUGAUAAAUGUAGCCACCAACCAGCAAGCGCUAACCAGUGUGCUUACCAAAAAUGGGCCGACUCCUAAGUUUAGAUUCCUGCUUUUUUCAAAUAAAGAUAGCAAGAGAACGAAGAAAAUGUGAUAAUAGGAGUAAAUGAGAAAGUUGCUUAAAAGUGCAUGCUCUGUCUGAAUCAUGAAAGAAAACAUUUGGGUUUAGUUUCCCUUUAAGUAAUUGUCAGGAGUAAGUCAUGUACAAGAGAAGUGGGCGGAGUUACCUGGGUUAAGCUUUUAUAUGACACAUUGCAUAACCAAGUGACUUAAAGGCAGCAGCAAUUGUUCGGUCUUCUUCUAUUCUGGUACCUGCCCAUUCACUGCCAGAGUCCAUUCAGAACUGGUAGACACAAAACUCUACUAGCUCAUCUGCACAUCCUGUGUUUUAACCUCUAUCUUUUUGGGGGCAAUGAAGGAUCCCAUUCCUGCUGCCCGUUCCGCUUCUUCUUGGGUGUAAGGUUCAUCUCUCAGGUGUUUGAGUCUGAAAAGAAUGAGCAAGUCAAACGCUGACAACACAAAACACCACAAAAGCAAAAAACCUGUUUAAAAGCCCAUAGGGCCAUUGUUUAAGGGUUUGGCAAAGAAUCCUAUAAUAACCUACGCAUACCUGCACACAUAACCUAAACAUGGUAGCAAGAGGACCUUUACCUGCGCUUGUGAACCUUUGUUUUGAAGUGUUCUUUUAAUGUCUUCAGAUCAACAAAAUAUCUCCUGGAACAAUAAAGACAAAAACGACUGUAAAUUUGUGGCAUGUGUUUUUAUCAGAUCAAUGUGCAUAGACAUGCCUUACCUUGCUAACACAUCAGGCGACAGUUACUGCAUUAAAGUCUAAUUAAAGGGAAAUGAAACCCACAUUUUUUCUUUCGUGAUUCAGGUAGAGCAUGCAAUUUUAAGCAACUUUCUAAUUUAUUCCUAUUAUCAAUGUUUCUUCAUUCUCUUGGUAUCUUUAUUGAAAAAGUGGGAAUAUAAACGUAGAAGCUGGCCCAUUUUUGGUUCAGUACCCUGGGUAGCGCUUGAUGAUUGGUAACUAAAUGUAGCCACCAAUCAGCAAGCGCUACCCAGAUGAAAAACCAAAUAUGGGCCGCUCCUAAGCUUUACAUGCCUGCUUUUCAAAUAAGGAUGCCAAGAGAACAAAGAAAAAUUGAUAAUAGCUGUAAGUUAAAAAGUUGCCUACAAUUGUAUGCUCUAUCUGAAUCAUGAAAGAAAAAAAUUGGGUUUAAUAUCCCUUUAAUGUUUUUAAAUUAACUUGUUAGGCCCUUGGAAAUCAUGGGGAAAAAAACAUUAUGUAGCAAUGUAAUACAGUCCUAUUUGAUAACCAAGAGGUAAAAGAGGCAGAUGCACCACUCCUAUAAAUUAAUAAUUCAUUUACAAGAUCAGUGCAGGUUUAAAGCAAAUGCUGAAUUGAGUUGACAGCUACUCCAUUUUUGUUCGUAAGUAAAUACACAUGAAUGAAGCAUGUACAAAAUGAUCACAGGGUUUUUACAAAAUAGCAGCAUUAAUGUUUUAUCUUUUGUUUUCUUAUGGACAUCCCUGUACUCAAAAUAAACUCUUGAUAACAAUUUUACCAUCUGUAUCAAUAUGUUGUGGAUUAACCCAUCUCUCAACAGCAACAACAUUAUAUUUGUAUUACUUCAUGUAUUAUUUGUAUAUCUAUUAAUUGUUUAUAAAUAUUUUUAUGUAAAGGCUUCAAAUUCUGUUCAAAUACACAAUGAUAGAUUUGUCUCUCAGUAACUAAAUAAUAUUGCAAUUUAGUGAAUAAAUGUAUUUAAAAAAGAAAAAA